AACGCACCUUGCGCUCCUUGGUAUUCCGAGGAGCAUGCCUGUUUGAGUGUCAUUAAAUUCUCAAUCUCUACAACUUUGUGUUGUCUAGAUUGGAUGUGGGGGCUCUUUGUGUGGAAUACAAUUCCUCACUCCCCUUAAAUGAAUUAGCUGGAAUGCCUCUGCAUAUCUGACUAUCAGUGUGAUAAUUAUCUAUACUGUAGUUGUUGCAUGAGGGUAUCUGCUUCAUAAAUCGUCGCAAGACAAUUCUUUAUGACCAUCUUGACCUCAAAUCAGGUAGGACUACCCGCUGAACUUAA
rnacentral:misc_RNA from 1 species